rnacentral:rRNA from 1 species
UGGGGAAUCUUGCGCAAUGGGCGAAAGCCUGACGCAGCCAUGCCGCGUGGAUGAUGAAGGUCUUAGGAUUGUAAAAUCCUUUCACCGGUGAAGAUAAUGACUGUAGCCGGAGAAGAAGCCCCGGCUAACUUCGUGCCAGCAGCCGCGGUAAUACGAAGGGGGCUAGCGUUGCUCGGAAUUACUGGGCGUAAAGGGAGCGUAGGCGGACAUUUAAGUCAGGGGUGAAAUCCCAGAGCUCAACUCUGGAACUGCCUUUGAUACUGGGUGUCUUGAGUGUGAUAGAGGUAUGUGGAACUCCGAGUGUAGAGGUGAAAUUCGUAGAUAUUCGGAAGAACACCAGUGGCGAAGGCGACAUACUGGAUCAUUACUGACGCUGAGGCUCGAAAGCGUGGGGAGCAAACAGGAUUAGAUACCCUUGUAGUCCCUGAGCGGGCUGGCAAGGCGCAU